rnacentral:lncRNA from 10 species
UGCGUGUUAGCUACGAGCUCUUGAGAAAGCUACUUCACCUCCCGGAACCUCAGUUUUUUCAUCAGUGAAAAGAGGUCUACGAACACCCACCUUGAAAGCUGCCAUGAGAUUAGUGGGAAUAACACGCACAAAAGGGGCUAGAAGGUAAUAGGCACUCAGUAACGAUCUGUGAAUAGUGUCUCUCUAUUUCAUACUAUCUUGAGAUAUAGCUGAUCUCAAGACUUGGCUUUGUGAUAGGUUUUAUUGUUUGUUUUUGUUUUUGUUUUGUUUUGUUUGAGAUGGAGUCUCGCUGUGUCACCCAGGCUGAAGUGCAAUGGCUAGAUCUCAGCUCACUGCAACCUCUGCCUCCUGGGUUCAAGUGAUUCUCCUGCCUCAGCCUCCCUAGUAGCUGAGACUACAGUUGUGCACCAUCACGCCGGGCUAAUUUUUGUAUUUUUAGUGGAGACGUGGUUUCAUCAUAUUGGUUAGGCUGGUCUUGAACUCCUGACCUGGGGUGAUCCACCUACCUCGGCCUCCGAAAGUGCUGGGAUUACAGGCGUGAGCCACCGUGCCCAGCCCUAGAUUUUAUUCUUGACCGCAAAUAAUCCUACGUUGCUGACUUUUUUUUUUAAAUACACCUCUUUUAAUAGGCAUGCAAACAUUAGUGUCAACAUUACAUUAUGUAUACAGUGGUCCCUCCUUAUUGUUUUCCUCAGUUUCAGUUACCCUUAGUCAACCAAGUUCUGAAACUAUUAUGUCACUACUCUUGUGCUCUGGGGCCAUUAUGACCUAAAAUAAAGGUUACUUGAACACAGCGCUGUGAUACCUCAAUGCUUGAUCAGAGAACCAAGGCAAAGCUACUAAGCGGCUAAUGGCAAUCCAGGCUGAAUGCAGACAGCACCAGGCUCCAUCAUGCUGCUAAGACCGACGCCAUUUAGAACAUAUGCAUGUUUAUUUCUGGAAUUGUUUAUUCAUGUCACAAUGCCUGCAUCAUUCAUCUCAUUUCAUCUCAUCACACGGGCAUCGUAUCAUCUCACAUCAUCACAAGGAGAAGGGGUAGCGCAUCAAAAUUGCAAUUCCA